AUGAAAAUGAUCAGGUGUGUCAUGAGAUACAUUUACUUACUAUGUCCAUUUGUUGCUUGAAAUUUCCAUUAAGAUUGUUAACCAUAUAUGUGUAUAGCACAAACAAAAAAAGUACCAAGGUUCACGAUAUAUCUUUAGUUAAUGAUCUUUGGCGGAGCUACUAUUUUUCCCUCUUGCUCGUCUUGGUUAGAUCUUGUAGUGGUUGCAUCUGUGAUUUUCCUAUUUUGAUAUUUGUUGCUUCUACCUCCUCGAGCAUUUAUUAAUUUUGCAAUUGUCUAAUUUUCCAGUGAGUUCUAUAGGAAAUGUUUGUGGGUUGAGAAAGGUCCAGAGUUGUCGUCGUCCAGCUAUGCUCAUUAUGGGUGUCUGAAAGUCAGUCAUGUCGUUGUCGUCGUAUUGCCGCACUUGUCAAGCUUAUUCUGCCUUCUCGUGAUCCAUGUCGAGUUGUAUUAAUAAACUGGGAUUUGGUAUUUGUGGUCUAGAAUGCAACUUAUAUGAACUCAGGAAAAAUUGGGAAGCUUUUCUCCAAAGUUGAAAAAGUUCGAAAUUGAUGCUUUGAAGUGUUGUGUAUCAAUCACAUUUGUACUCUUCUUUUUUGUUACAUUUAUUCUUUUCUUAGUAUUUUAAAUUUUGAGAUGAUGAUGGAGAAUAUGAAUUCGGUUGUGAUUUUUGUAAUUUCAAUUUUGAUGUGUUUGGUUGAAUGUAUAUAUUUUUUGAAACAGGGUUUGAAUAUAUUUUGGAGAAUUCUAACUAGUGGCAAAUAAAAUAUUAUUGCUGAAUGGUUAAAAUUUCAUUAGGUUUCUUUUUUGAAGAAAAAAAAAAUUUGCUUUUGGCGGCGUUUUUAAAAAAUGCCACUAUAGGGUUUGCAUAACGUCAUCUCGCCGGAAGGAAUCACCGCCGGUGACUGUAGCAUGACGUUUCUAAAACAUCACAAUAAGGUCUACAAUGGCGUUUUUUAAACGUCGCAAACAUAUAACGACGGUCGUAUCUUUAACGUAUAAUAAAAACGUCACCAAAAGUUUUAGCGGCGUUUUUUAGAUAUUUAGCGGCGUUUUACAAACGCCAUUAAAAACUGUAUUUCCUAUAGUGUAACAAAGAAAACCCAACUCAGAAAACACCUCUAGACACCAAACUCAGUAGAAGAAAGCUCCUAAAUACCCUAAAUUCCACUGGUUUAGGCCUUACAGUUGGGUCUGUGGUUGCUUAGCCAGCAAGAGUUGAACCAGAGAGCCUAAUUGAAGCCACUUCAACCAGAUUGUCAUACUCAAGGUUCUUGCAGUACCUUGAUGAAGGUGCUGUGAGGAAGGUGGACUUGUUUGAGAACGGGUCGGUGGCCAUAGCUGAGGUAUUCAAUCCUACACUCAAUAAAAUCCAGAGAGUUAAAGUACAGUUUCCUGGAUUGCCACAAGAGCUUUUGAGGAAGCUGAGAAAGAAGAAUGUGGACUUUGCAGCUCAUCCAAUGGAAGUGAACAUGGUAGCUGCAAUACUUGAUUUGUUGGGUAAUUUGGCUUUUCCAUUGAUAUUGCUUGGAUCUUUGCUGCUGAGGACUUCCUCUGGAAAUACUCCUGGAAGGCCUAACUUGCCUUUUGGACUUGGCAUGAGCAAAGCCAAAUUUCAAAUGGAACAAACACAGGAGUAACCUUUGAGGAUGUAGUUGGAGUUGAUGAAGCAAAACAAGAUUUUCAAGAAAUUGUUGAGUUCCUAAAAGCCCCAGGAAAGUUUGCUGCAGUGGGGGCAAAAUUCCAAAAGGAGUACUACUAAUAGGCCCACCGGGCACU